GCCGUGCCCGAGCUGGUCCAAGGGGGCAGACUUAAGUUCUGCUGGUCGAAAGACCGCGCAGGUUCGAACCCUGCCGGCG
rnacentral:tRNA from 1 species